GGGGAAUAUUGCGCAAUGGGGGAAACCCUGACGCAGCAACGCCGCGUGAAGGAAGAAGGCUUUCGGGUUGUAAACUUCUUUAGUCGGGGACGAAAAAAAUGACGGUACCCGAAGAAUAAGCCACGGCUAACUACGUGCCAGCAGCCGCGGUAAUACGUAGGUGGCGAGCGUUGUCCGGAAUUACUGGGUGUAAAGGGCGUGUAGGCGGGUUAUCAAGUCAGAUGUGAAAUUCCAGGGCUCAACCCUGGCGCUGCAUCUGAAACUGAUGAUCUUGAGUACUGGAGAGGGAAGCGGAAUUCCUAGUGUAGCGGUGAAAUGCGUAGAUAUUAGGAGGAACACCAGUGGCGAAGGCGGCUUUCUGGACAGUAACUGACGCUGAGGCGCGAAAGCGUGGGGAGCGAAC
rnacentral:rRNA from 1 species